CGAAAAUGUUGUGAACGAAGCUGAAAUUGGCAUUUUUAUGCACCUAAUUUCAAGCCGAAUUAUCACCAGAGCAUGCAGCGUUUUCGGCCAGCACGAAGGCGGCAACAUAUAGAGGGUUGCUGCACUGUAUAAUUGUAAUCAUCGCUGACUGGCUGUUGGCAGAGUAUUUGAUGCGUGCACGUGUAUGGAUCCGUUCCUUCCUCAUGUUAACGUCUCAAUCAAGCAUCGUCAUCAAAACUUUGCGUAGAAGAGUGUUUGUCAGCGGUGUCGGUCAUCCUCUGGGAUCCUCUUUCUGUUAUUACUGAAGCUCAAUUCCCAAUACAUGAACUGCUUUCCACAAUGCGCAAGAUGCAACACCUGCGAUGAGCUGCAAUCGCGACAGACGAUUCACAAUCUGUUUUGUGUCUGCGGCAUCUAAGUGCAGUGCGUAGUACCCUCACGUGCACCCAGCCUAGUGAACUGCACUCCAUUUGUGUACAACGCGCUUGGCAAGAGUUAUGCUUUUGCCAACUUCUGGGACAGUGGCCCUACAACUGCUUGCGACAGUGCGCGACAGGCAUUUCCUCGCCGCAAGUGUUACAUCGCAGAAAGUGAUAUGUAAUUGUGAA